rnacentral:lncRNA from 1 species
UGGAAAAUUGAUAGAACCUCAUCAGACAUGAAACAUGAUACAGAAACGCAAAAGAACAUUUUUAUCCAUUAGCAGUAGUUUCAGUAUUAAAAGAAUGCAUACGGCAUAGUGGAUACGCUAGAAGCAGGAUGGACCUGCUCAUUGUUAAAAUUAGAUUUUAACAUGAACUAUUAUGCUCUAUCGUACUGUACCAAACAUGGGAGAAAAACAUAUUUGCAAUAAAGAACAUCUAAUGUUAUUUGAUCAUCAAGUUCAACGAGAUCCAUAAAACACAUCUACUGUGGCCGCUAGAAGUUAUUUAAUGGUAACAAAAUUCGUAGGGAAAUUAUGCUUAAGGUAAAUGAGAAACAUUACCUUCUCCUCCACUUUCUUAAACAGUGAAGAUAAUGUUGUCUGAACAAGAGGUGUGCUCUGAUUCUCAGAGGCAUCCUUAGCCUUACCAGUCCGCUUAUAUCGAUCUGAAGCUGGAUCUUUUCUGGCAUCAUUGUUGUCACCCUCAAAUACAGAAGGGGAGCAAUUUUCUGUCUGUAUAUGUCUAUAAGGAAAUUUUCUAUAGGAGAUCAAUACUCUUGUGCAUACACGUGAACUAUUAGAGGGGGGGGGGGGUCUAGACAAAUAUACAAGCUACUUCCUAGCUUGGUAAACGGGAAAAACAAUAACAAGGAUAUUUGUAGAUGGGUAAAUUCUUUUAGUUUCAGUAUCAACUUUCACAUCCUCUUCUUCAGGUGUCUCAUCUCCAUUUUCAAUAAAAUCAUCCCCAGAUGAUUCUGCAAAUCUGAGAAGAGAGAUACAAAAUAUCACAGGAAUAAUCAUAACUCAGAUCACAAUAAAAGAAAUGUUUGACAUAGGUAGUGAAGAAUUCGAAUGAAUCUAGACAAAUUGGGACAAAAUGAAGAAGUCUGAAAACUCUACUUGGCUUUCUGGGGCAUUUUAUGCUAAUAAGAUAAAAAAUAAAAUUAACUACUCCUUUUAGCAGGACAUACUGCCUAAAGUUCUUGUAUCAAAGAACUUCGGUAUUGGAAGUCAUGGUAAACAAAAUUUUCAUAAUGUGCAAGAUGUAAUCCUUGGUAUAAAAUUUAUAAAUAAAUAAAUCAACAACUUUGCAAGCAAUUAUCUUAAUGAAUUAAGCUGCCACGUGAUCCUGAGUUGUCUGAAUAAAAGAAACUUCAAAUAAUCUUACCUGCAUUGGAACAUAAGCCUAUGACAGUUUAUCUCACAUCAGAUAAGAAUUGGAAAAGUGCGUAGAGCCUACAAGCUUUUGGUUUUAAUAAAUUCUAAGACAAAUUUGUCAUGGGGGAGUAUCUGCAUAUACUUGCCACUUACAGUUCCUAAGCAAACCUUAACACUCAAUGAAAAGAAAUGUGAUGUCUAAGUUUAGCAUUUAAAGUAAGCAGCCCUUAGAAAAUGAAUGAAUCAGGAUACAUGGUUGGCAUCUUACAGUUCUUCUUGUAAUAUAUCAUGUUAAAGGAAAGUCAAGUUUCUACCUGAACAUUUUCCCAGCGGUCGUGGCUGAAUGUCUGGUGGGAGUCAUUUCGUCCAACUCUUUGUAAUCAUUUGGACCGUCAGUUAACUCAUCCUCUAAAUAAACUUUUUCAGACUCUCGUUCCAAGCUUUUCAUUGCAGGUUUUCCAGAACUUUGUUUACAGUCCGACGUGACCCCUACUCCACCCUUGAAAUCGACUUCUGCAUGAUUUUC